rnacentral:rRNA from 1 species
AGAGUUUGAUCCUGGCUCAGGAUGAACGCUAGCGAUAGGCUUAACACAUGCAAGUCGAGGGGCAGCACAUGAGUGGUAACACGAUGGUGGCGACCGGCGCACGGGUGAGUAACACGUAUGCAACCUGCCCAUAACUGGGGGAUAACCCGUCGAAAGGCGGACUAAUACCGCAUAACAACGCUGAUCCGCAUGGUGAAGCGUUUAAAGAUUUAUCGGUUAUGGAUGGGCAUGCGUUCCAUUAGAUUGUUGGUAGGGUAACGGCCUACCAAGUCUGCGAUGGAUAGGGGUUCUGAGAGGAAGGUCCCCCACACUGGUACUGAGACACGGACCAGACUCCUACGGGAGGCAGCAGUGAGGAAUAUUGGUCAAUGGGCGAGAGCCUGAACCAGCCAAAUCGCGUGAAGGAUGAAGGUAUUAUGUAUUGUAAACUUCUUUUGUCAGGGAAUAAAGUGCGGGACGUGUCCCGUUUUGUAUGUACCUGAAGAAUAAGGAUCGGCUAACUCCGUGCCAGCAGCCGCGGUAAUACGGAGGAUCCAAGCGUUAUCCGGAUUUAUUGGGUUUAAAGGGUGCGUAGGCGGACCUUUAAGUCAGCGGUGAAAGUUCCCGGCUCAACCGGGGAAUUGCCGUUGAAACUAUUGGUCUUGAGUGUAGAUGAGGUGGGCGGAAUUCGUAGUGUAGCGGUGAAAUGCUUAGAUAUUACGAAGAACUCCAAUUGCGUAGGCAGCUCACUAGGCUACAACUGACGCUGAGGCACGAAGGUGCGGGGAUCAAACAGGAUUAGAUACCCUGGUAGUCC